GACGAACGCUGGCGGCGUGCUUAACACAUGCAAGUCGAACGGAAAGGCCCUGCUUUUGUGGGGUGCUCGAGUGGCGAACGGGUGAGUAACACGUGAGUAACCUGCCCUUGACUUUGGGAUAACUUCAGGAAACUGGGGCUAAUACCGGAUAGGAGCUCCUGCUGCAUGGUGGGGGUUGGAAAGUUUCGGCGGUUGGGGAUGGACUCGCGGCUUAUCAGCUUGUUGGUGGGGUAGUGGCUUACCAAGGCUUUGACGGGUAGCCGGCCUGAGAGGGUGACCGGCGACAUUGGGACUGAGAUACGGCCCAGUAUCCUACGGGAGGCAGCAGUGGGGAAUAUUGCACAAUGGGCCGAAGCCUGAUGCAGCAACGCCGCGUGCGGGAUGACGGCCUUCGGGUUGUAAACCGCUUUCGCCUGUGACGAAGCGUGAGUGACGGUAAUGGGUAAAGAAGCACCGGCUAACUACGUG
rnacentral:rRNA from 1 species